rnacentral:rRNA from 1 species
GACGCUAAUACCGCAUACGUCCUACGGGAGAAAGCAGGGGACCUUCGGGCCUUGCGCUAUCAGAUGAGCCUAGGUCGGAUUAGCUAGUUGGUGAGGUAAUGGCUCACCAAGGCUACGAUCCGUAACUGGUCUGAGAGGAUGAUCAGUCACACUGGAACUGAGACACGGUCCAGACUCCUACGGGAGGCAGCAGUGGGGAAUAUUGGACAAUGGGCGAAAGCCUGAUCCAGCCAUGCCGCGUGUGUGAAGAAGGUCUUCGGAUUGUAAAGCACUUUAAGUUGGGAGGAAGGGCAUUAACCUAAUACGUUAGUGUUUUGACGUUACCGACAGAAUAAGCACCGGCUAACUCUGUGCCAGCAGCCGCGGUAAUACAGAGGGUGCAAGCGUUAAUCGGAAUUACUGGGCGUAAAGCGCGCGUAGGUGGUUUGUUAAGUUGAAUGUGAAAUCCCCGGGCUCAACCUGGGAACUGCAUCCAAAACUGGCAAGCUAGAGUAUGGUAGAGGGUAGUGGAAUUUCCUGUGUAGCGGUGAAAUGCGUAGAUAUAGGAAAGGAACACCAGNUGGCGAAGGCGACUACCUGGACUGAUACUGACACUGANGGUGCGAAAGCGUGGGGAGCAAACAGGAUUNAGAUACCCUGGNUAGUCCACGCCGUAAANCGAUGUCAACUAGCCGUUGGGUCCCUUGAGGACUUAGUGGNCGCAGCNUAACGCAANUAAGUUGACCNGCCNUGGGGAGUACGGCCNGCAAGGNUUAAAANCUCNAAAUNGAANUUGACGGGGGNCCCNGCNACAAGCNGGUGGANGCNAUNGUGGUUUAAUUNCGAUGCAACGCGAANGAACCNUUNACCNUACCCNUUGACAUCCNAGANGGACUUUNCNCAGANGAUNGGANUUGGUGCCNUUNCGGGAACUCUGANNGACNANGNNGNNUGNCUNNGCAUGNGCUNGUNCNGUCAGCUCGUGUUGUGAAAUGUUGGGUUAAGUCCCGUAACGAGCGCAACCCCUAUCCUUAUUUGCCAGCGAGUAAUGUCGGGAACUCUAAGGAGACUGCCGGUGACAAACCGGAGGAAGGUGGGGACGACGUCAAGUCAUCAUGGCCCUUACGUGUAGGGCUACACACGUGCUACAAUGGCGCAUACAGAGUGCUGCGAACCUGCGAAGGUAAGCGAAUCACUUAAAGUGCGUCGUAGUCCGGAUUGGAGUCUGCAACUCGACUCCAUGAAGUCGGAAUCGCUAGUAAUCGCGUAUCAGAAUGACGCGGUGAAUACGUUC